rnacentral:rRNA from 1 species
UACGUAGGUGGCAAGCGUUGUCCGGAAUUAUUGGGCGUAAAGGGCUCGUAGGCGGUUUGUUGCGUCGGGAGUGAAAACUUACAGCUUAACUGUGAGCGUGCUUCCGAUACGGGCAGACUUGAGGUAUUCAGGGGAGAACGGAAUUCCUGGUGUAGCGGUGAAAUGCGCAGAUAUCAGAAGGAACACCGGUGGCGAAGGCGGUUCUCUGGGAAUAUCCUGACGCUGAGGAGCGAAAGUGUGGGGAGCGAACAGG